UACGGGGGGGGCAAGCGUUGUUCGGAAUUACUGGGCGUAAAGGGCUUGUAGGUGGCCAACUAAGUCAGACGUGAAAUCCCUCGGCUUAACCGGGGAACUGCGUCUGAUACUGGAUGGCUUGAGUGUGGGAGAGGGAUGCGGAAUUCCAGGUGUAGCGGUGAAAUGCGUAGAUAUCUGGAGGAACACCGGUGGCGAAGGCGGCAUCCUGGGCCAUUACUGACGCUGAGAAGCGAAAGCAUGGGGAGCGAACAGG
rnacentral:rRNA from 1 species